rnacentral:tRNA from 1 species
AGUCUUAUAUUCAAAAAUGAUUUAAAAUUGCAAAUUUUAAGGAGUAAAAAAAAAAUUACUAAGGCUU